rnacentral:ncRNA from 1 species
CAUUCGCGGGGAGGUAGUGACGAAAAAUAACAAUGCAGGACUCGUUCGAGGCCCUGUAAUUGGAAUGAGUACACUUUAAAAGCUUUAACGAGUAUCCAUUGGAGGGCAAGUCUGGUGCCAGCAGCCGCGGUAAUUCCAGCUCCAAAAGUAUAUAUUUAAGUUGUUGCGGUUAAAAAGCUCGUAGUUGGAUUUUGGGCGCAGGCGGCCGGUCCGUCGCAAGGCGUGUACUGGACGUCCUGGCCUUCCCUCCGGUUCUCCGCCGGUGCUCUUGACUGAGUGUCGGCGGCGGCCGGAACGUUUACUUUGAAAAAAUUAGAGUGUUCAAAGCAGGCUCUCGAGCCUGGAUAAUGGUGCAUGGAAUAAUGGAAUAGGACCUCGGUUCUAUUUUGUUGGUUUUCGGAGCGCGAGGUAAUGAUUAAGAGGGACAGACGGGGGCAUUCGUACUGUGCCGUUAGAGGUGAAAUUCUUGGAUCGGCGCAAGACGAACGACUGCGAAAGCAUUUGCCAAGAAUGUUUUCUUUAAUCAAGAGCGAAAGUCAGAGGUUCGAAGACGAUCAGAUACCGUCCUAGUUCUGACUAUAAACGAUGCCAACUAGCGAUCGGGGGGCGUUACAUUGACGACCCCUCCGGCAGCUUACGGGAAACCAAAGUCUUUGGGUUCCGGGGGAAGUAUGGUUGCAAAGCUGAAACUUAAAGGAAUUGACGGAAAGGCACCACCAGGAGUGGAGCCUGCGGCUUAAUUUGACUCAACACGGGAAAUCUCACCCCGCCCCGACACAGUGAGGAUUGACAGAUUG